AUGACAGAAAGGAGCUGGGAUCAGCACCAGGAGAGCGACCUGGCUGUGAUCGCAGCGAUGAACAAUGAACCAGAAGGCAGAGUGGAGAGUGAGGAUGACACCCGGGAUGGCAACCACAGACCAGGAAGGCUGAGCCGGGAAACAGAUCUCAGGACUCCCAGCAGAAGCCUGUGUUUUCCAAAACAGAAGACAGAUGAAAAGACCCGCAGGCUACAGAGGGCAGAUGCUGCCCAGCUGAGAGCAUGGCCUCUCGCAGCUGCGGAGCCCACGGUUCUCAUUGUUUUGGAUGUGGGGUAG
rnacentral:lncRNA from 1 species